rnacentral:rRNA from 1 species
GACGAACGCUGGCGGCGUGCCUAAUACAUGCAAGUCGAACGAGAGCACCCGGUGCUUGCACUGGUCAAUCUAGUGGCGAACGGGUGAGUAACACGUGGGUAACCUGCCCAUCAGAGGGGGAUAACAUCCGGAAACGGAUGCUAAAACCGCAUAGGUCUUCGAACCGCAUGGUUUGAAGAGGAAAAGAGGCGCAAGCUUCUGCUGAUGGAUGGACCCGCGGUGCAUUAGCUAGUUGGUGAGGUAACGGCUCACCAAGGCCGUGAUGCAUAGCCGACCUGAGAGGGUGAUCGGCCACAUUGGGACUGAGACACGGCCCAAACUCCUACGGGAGGCAGCAGUAGGGAAUCUUCCGCAAUGGACGCAAGUCUGACGGAGCAACGCCGCGUGAGUGAAGAAGGUGUUCGGAUCGUAAAACUCUGUUGUUAGAGAAGAACAAGUGCUAGAGUAACUGUUAGCGCCUUGACGGUAUCUAAACAGAAAGCCACGGCUAACUACGUG